rnacentral:lncRNA from 1 species
UGGGCAUUGUGAAAAAUAUCGCGGAGAUCGUGCUCGCCUAUUGCUCAUACAAGCUGCAUUUGCAGCCCCCGGCUUCGACUGCCUCUACAUAUAACGGGGCUGCUCUCCCCGACGAGGUUUCUGUAGAGGCGAACAAUCAUGAGGGCCAGUGCAUUCGCUGUUACACUCGUUGCCAUCGCGCCCAUUGUUGUAGACGCGGGGAUCGUUGGAGCCAUAGCUAAGACUGUUGCAAAAGUGCCGAAGCCGGCUGCCAAGAUAGCACUUGGAACCGUAGAACGCGUGGGCGACAUAACUAAUAUAGGGAUGGAUCUGGGUAAGUGGAGCCGUCACAUAUCUAUAGGGAAAAUUGUCUUAGAGUAUUUGUAAUGAUAGUAGGGAUUCCGUGGCAAUAACUUAUUUGUGGCGCACAUAUUACCCCCUCGCAACUGAUUAGGCAACGCUUUCGCUCCAUGAUCACAUUAGUUGUACGCGUCAGCAACAUUUUGCUUGCAAUAUAUUAUGUUAAUCUCUGCACAAUUGUACGACAACGUGGCAGUUAGGGGAGUAUAUUGGAAAAACCUCCCACAGAAGAGACGACGAAAUGCCGCGAUGGGAUACUGAAUGUUUAAAAACAAUGGACCUGAACGCUGAAGAGUGCCAAACUUCCCAGUAAUAACAGCAAUAUC